UUAAAUUAAAAAUUGUAAUUUAAUUUUGCUCUCAAUGCAAAGAAUUAUAAAUAAAAAGAAAACCGUCACAAUCAAAUCAAAUGUUACUUUUCCUUGAAGAGUAAAUAAUAAGACCACAAGUUUAACAGGCAAACAUUAUUAACCCUUAUUCUUUAUGCAAAUAAUACUCCAAUGCUCCUCCUCUUUAUCACUCCACUCGGACUUGGAUUAAAGUUGUAUACCUGGGGCCUUUCUUAAACCCAGGCUUGACUGCUCCAGCUUAGGAGGCUCCACAAGAUGGGUACGCAGUGGAAACGCAACCCUGCAUUCGGGCCUAUACUUUUUGGAUCAACGGUUAUUUUGCACGCGGUGUGGUUUAAACAUCGAAGGUCGUCUAGAGCCAGAGCCCAAGCCGAGGUUUGAGAAAGGCCCUUGAUUUAGUUAUUCUUUUCAGCACAGUAGAGGAUAUUAAGAAGUAUUAAGUAGGGUAAGGGUUAAGCCAAAAGCCAAAAUUGUUUUGACACUUGUCAUCAAAUAAAAACAAUAACAAAGAAUGACAUCUUAACACAACUCUUUACACUAUAAAUAGAACUCUAUUUGAAUCUACACACACACAACGGGGACAGCUCUAUAUUUUGACACCCCUACACCAUGGAGGUAGGUUCUGACGUCCAGGUGUUUCGGAAACACCCUUGUGAUCCGGGUUUAGGAAAACACAUUUGGAGCAAGUCAAACAUGUCAUAAAGGUGUCAACACACAGGGGUCACUGUGUUUACUUCGACCUGGAUCUAAGCCAAACCACAGUGAUAGGAUUGCUGCACGAUAUGCAUAAGGAGCAACAAGAAACAUCUUGAACACAAGACUAAAUUUUGGUUGAUAAACGAUAUUCCAGUCUUACUUACUCCUUUUUUUUUUUUUUCAAAAAGGAAAUAUAUUUCAAACCAUCGAUUAACACUUAAAUCAACAUGGAAUAUACAUAACUAAAAUGCUCGAAAUGUGGCUGGAAGCAAAAACAGAUUGGCCCCUUUUUCUGUGAGAGUCGGUGCGUAUAUUUACAUUGCUAAGACUGGGUACCUGACAUAUAAAUAUACCCACUACAAGGCAACCACAAAUAAAGAUCUACACAUUUACAGUCAACACUCGUUGUAAAGAGGGUCUGCUUAUAAAGAGUACUUUCUAAAGUCCCAAAUCUCUUUUCUACUUGUGUGUUUUUUUGCUGUCCUCUAAUACAAGUACAGUGUAACAAUGUUAUAAAGAGGCAUUUUGGCUAGCCCAGUGUUCGUGUUAUUACAAGCUGUCCACUACUAUCACUGUUUUUACAAACAUGUACACAUUUCAAUUCAUUCCAAGUUACGAUCAUGCUUUAUACACACAUUUAAAAUAAACCCAAGUCCAGACCUAAAACUCUAUGGGUUAGGAAGCGAAGGCAAAAUAUCUCCAUGCCCCCAUGGGGCCUGGUGACUGAAAAUCUUCCAGCAAACUUGACGUUCAACAGUGCAAUACGUCGAGUAGGAAUAGGUGUUUGAUAUGGGACAUGAAAACUUGUAUGGAAUGUCACAAACACAAUGAACACAAAAAUGUGUACAAUGACUGAGUGCACUUGCUGUACAAGUCUUUGCUUUUAAAGUUAACAAUGGUUAAUGGGAAAAACAAAAGUAAGGAAAAACGUUUUUUAAAUGUCAACUUAAAAUCUGCAAGCGGACGGAGAGGCGCAAAAUGUGUUCAUAAACCC